GCGGGGGUGCCCGAGUCGGCCAAACAUCUUUCAAAAUUUGGAAAGAUGGGCCAAAGGGGCACGGUUGAGGACCGUGUGCUGUAGAGCUGCGCGGGUUCGAAUCCCGUCCCCCGCA
rnacentral:tRNA from 1 species